rnacentral:rRNA from 1 species
GACGAACGCUGGCGGCGUGCUUAACACAUGCAAGUCGAACGGAAAGGCCCUGCUUUUGUGGGGUGCUCGAGUGGCGAACGGGUGAGUAACACGUGAGUAACCUGCCCUUGACUUUGGGAUGACUUCAGGAAACUGGGGCUAAUACCGGAUAGGAGCUCCUGCUGCAUGGUGGGGGUUGGAAAGUUUCGGCGGUUGGGGAUGGACUCGCGGCUUAUCAGCUUGUUGGUGGGGUAGUGGCUUACCAAGGCUUUGACGGGUAGCCGGCCUGAGAGGGUGACCGGCCACAUUGGGACUGAGAUACGGCCCAGACUCCUACGGGAGGCAGCAGUGGGGAAUAUUGCACAAUGGGCGGAAGCCUGAUGCAGCAACGCCGCGUGCGGGAUGACGGCCUUCGGGUUGUAAACCGCUUUCGCCUGUGACGAAGCGUGAGUGACGGUAAUGGGUAAAGAAACACCGGCUAACUACGU